GUGACAUUGACCACUCACUGAGCAUGGC
rnacentral:sRNA from 1 species